UAUAUGGGGUUAUAUGGGGUUAUAUGGGGUUAUAUGGGGGAGAUUACACCUUUAUACCCGAUGGAUACGCGCUGUCAUUGAGCGCCAAGCUCAACUUCCUGGGUAUCAUAUAGGUUAUAUAGGGUUAUAUAGGGUUAUAUGGGAUAUAUGGGGUUAUAUGGGGUUAUAUAGGGGGUAUAUGGGGUUAUAUGGGGUUAUAUGGGGUUAUAUAGGGGCUAUAGGGGUUCCAUAGGGGCUAUAGGGCCAUUAUAUGGGGUUAUAUGGGGUUAUAUGGGGUUAUAUAGGGGCUAUAGGGUCAUUAUAUGGGGUUAUAUGGGGUUAUAUGGGGUUAUAUGGGGUUAUAUGCGGUUAUAUGGGUUUAUAUGGGUUAUAUGGGUUUAUAUGGGGUUAUACUGGGGUUAUAUGGGGAUAGUAUGGGUGUAUAUGUGCGGAGUAUAUGAGGGUUAUAGGGGUUAUAGGGGGUUAGAUGGGCCUGAUAUUAUGGCGGUUAUAUGGGGUGUUAGUAUGGGGUCUAUAUGGGGUUAUAUUAUUGGGAUAUAUGCGGGUUAUAUGGGUGUAUAUGGGAUGCAUAUGGGGUUAUAUGGGGUUAUAUGGGGUUAUAUGGGCGUUAUAUGGGGAUAAUAUGAGGGUUAUUAUUGGGGUGAUAUGGGGGGAUAUGGGUUAUAUGGGAGGAUAUAUGGCGGAUUAAUAUGGGGUUAUAUUGCGGAUUAUCAUGGGGGUAUAUUGGGGGUGGAUAUGGGUUAUAUGGGUAUGGGUAUAUGGGGUUAUAUGGGAUAUAGGGGUUAUAUGGGGUACUAUAGGUUAUAUGGCGGUUAUAUGGGGGUAUAUGUGGGUGUAUAUGGGGUCUGUAUGCGGCGUGAUAUAUGGGGUAUAUAUGGGUAGAUGGG
rnacentral:lncRNA from 1 species